GAUGAACGCUGGCGGCGUGCCUAAUACAUGCAAGUCGAGCGAACAGAUGAGGAGCUUGCUCCUCUGACGUUAGUGGCGGACGGGUGAGUAACACGUGGAUAACCUACCUAUAAGACUGGGAUAACUUCGGGAAACCGGAGCUAAUACCGGAUAAUAUAUUGAACCGCAUGGUUCAAUAGUGAAAGACGGUUUUGCUGUCACUUAUAGAUGGAUCCGCGCCGCAUUAGCUAGUUGGUAAGGUAACGGCUUACCAAGGCAACGAUGCGUAGCCGACCUGAGAGGGUGAUCGGCCACACUGGAACUGAGACACGGUCCAGACUCCUAAGGGAGGCAGCAGUAGGGAAUCUUCCGCAAUGGGCGAAAGCCUGACGGAGCAACGCCGCGUGAGUGAUGAAGGUCUUCGGAUCGUAAAACUCUGUUAUUAGGGAAGAACAAAUGUGUAAGUAACUAUGCACGUCUUGACGGUACCUAAUCAGAAAGCCACGGCUAACUACGCG
rnacentral:rRNA from 1 species